CAAACCCUUGUGAUCCAAGAUUCACUUUUUCCUCUAAUAUAUAUCCACACAUAUACUUAACCUCAUCCCCAAUAACUAUCUCUUUCUCAGCGUUUUUCUUCACCAUACUGCCACUUUGGAAUGAAAAGAGCAGCGAUCUACAGCUGUGUACCCCUAAUGAAGGAUCAUUGGCCUAUCAAAAAGGCUCUGACGUUGUCUGAUGUAGAUAUCACUCAUCCAUUCCUCACUUUGUCUCGACAACAAGUGGAGAACCACAUUGUGUUGCAUAUGACAACAGAACAACAGGAACAUUUGAGAACCCAAGGCCAAAUAGAUUUUAAUGCCCGAGAUGAUGAUACAG
rnacentral:misc_RNA from 1 species